UACGGAGGAUCCGAGCGUUAUCCGGAUUUAUUGGGUUUAAAGGGUGCGCAGGCGGGGGAUUAAGUCGGCGGUGAAAUUUUGCAGCUCAACUGUAAAAGUGCCUUCGAAACUGGUUUCCUUGAGUGUAGACGAAGUAGGCGGAAUUUGUGUGUAGCGGUGAAAUGCAUAGAUAUCACGAGGAACUCCGAUUGCGCAGGCAGCUUACUAAACUACUACUGACGCUCAGGCACGAAGGCGUGGGGAUCAAACAGGAUUAGAUACCCUGGUAGUCCCU
rnacentral:rRNA from 1 species